GCUCCCUUAGCUUAGUGGUUAAAGCGUCGUACUUAUGAUGCGAAGGUCGGCGGUUCAAAUCCGCCAGGGAGCA
rnacentral:tRNA from 1 species